rnacentral:tRNA from 1 species
GCCUCAGUAGCUUAGCAGGUGGAGCGGUCGGCUGUUAACACCUAUGAAAGAAACCGACAGGUCACCAGUUCAAAUCUGGUCUGAGGCG